AACGAACGCUGGCGGCAGGCCUAAAACAUGCAAGUCGAGCGGGCAUAGCAAUAUGUCAGCGGCGGACGGGUGAAUAACACGUGGGAACAUGCCCUUUGGUACGGAACAACUCAGGGAAACUUGAGCUAAUACCGUAUGUGCCGGUAACGGGAAAGAUUUAUCGCCAAAGGAUUGGCCCGCGUCCGAUUAGCUAGUUGGUGAGGUAACGGCUCACCAAGGCGACGAUCGGUAGCUGGUUUGAGAGAACGAUCAGCCACACUGGGACUGAGACACGGCCCAGACUCCUACGGGAGGCAGCAGUUGGGAACCUUGGACAAUGGGGGAAACCCUGAUCCAGCCAUGCCGCGUGAGCGAUGAAGGCCUCGGUUGUAAGUAC
rnacentral:rRNA from 1 species